AACGUAGGAGACAACCGUUAUCCGGAGUUACUGGGCGUAAAGGGCGUGUAGGUGGUUGCGUAAGUCUGGCGUGAAAUUUUUCGGCUUAACCGGGAAAGGUCGUCGGAUACUGCGUAGCUAGAGGACGGUAGAGGCGUGUGGAAUUCCGGGUGUAGUGGUGAAAUGCGUAGAGAUCGGCAGGAACACCCAGGGGGAAACCAGUCGACUGGGCAUCUACUGACGCUGAGGUGCGAGAGCGUGGGGAGCGAACCGG
rnacentral:rRNA from 1 species